rnacentral:rRNA from 1 species
AUUGAACGCUGGCGGCAGGCCUAACACAUGCAAGUCGACCGAGUGGCGGACGGGUGAGUAAUGUCUGGGACACUGCCCGAUGGAGGGGGAUAACUACUGGAAACGGUAGCUAAUACCGCAUACCAUCGGAUGUGCCCAGGUGGGAUUAGCUAGUAGGUGUGGUAAUGGGUCACCUAGGCGACGAGCCCUAGCUGGUCUGAGAGGAUUACCAGCCACACUGGAACGGAAUAACGGUCCAGACUGCUACGUGCGGCAGCAGUGGGAAAUAUUGCACAAGGGGCGCAAGCCUGAUGCAGCCAUGCCGCGUUUAUGAGGAAGGGCUUCGGGUUGUAAAGUACUUUCAGCGAGGAGGCGUUACUCGCAGAAGCAGCACCGGCUAACUCCGUACCAGCAGCCGCGGUAAUAC